UACGUAGGGUGCAAGCGUUAAUCGGAAUUACUGGGCGUAAAGGGCGCGUAGGCGGCCUGCUAAGUCGGACGUGAAAUCCCUCGGCUCAACCGGGGAACUGCGUCCGAUACUGGCGAGGCUUGAAUCCGGGAGAGGGAUGUGGAAUUCCUGGUGUAGCGGUGAAAUGCGCAGAUAUCAGGAGGAACACCGGUGGCGAAGGCGGGUCUCUGGGCCGAUAUCGACGCUGAGGAGCGAAAGCGUGGGGAGCGAACAGG
rnacentral:rRNA from 1 species